rnacentral:lncRNA from 1 species
UUCGAUUUCUCUUUUCUUUAUAAACCUUCAAUUUGCAAGGGGACAUCAUUGUUGAUUUCUUUCAUUCUUUCUUUUUCUGGUGAUUUUUUAUUUUCUUUUUCAUGAUGGCACUGGUAAGAUAGCAAAUUAAAAUUGAAAGAAAACAAUAGUAAACAAAUUCAUUAAUUUCAAGCAAAGAAAAGUAUAAGUGGAAUAACUUUCAU